AGGCUUGCGGUAAGGAGCCUGCAGGAUGCACCUCGCUGUUAAAUAAGAACUGCCCUCGACAUAAGCAAUAUUGAAAUAAUUGCAGCUCAUCCAUGGCCAGAUGUUGACUAACAAGACCCUCCUGUUCCACAAGUCAUAACUGCAGGUUUGAUUGGACAAGGGACCGAUUCAGUAACUUUCCCCUGAUAAAAGACCACCCACUAUGGACUGGUUCUGGCAGGUUUACAGAGACUGAGCACUAGUACAUUCAUGUCUCUGCUUCUCCUUUUGAUGUAUAGGGACUGUAAUGCAUUUAAAUGUUAAGUUUCCACUCCACAGUGAGCAUGGGAUGCAUGUCACAUGCAUGUUUAUUCAGCACCCCUCUUAGUGAAGAUUCACAGCUCUUCUUACAAUCUGUUGAAUAUGUCUGUUUAGCCAACUCAUUCAGCAUAAAGCUUCUGCUCCAACCCCACCUCCUUCAAAGUGCCUGUUGACUGUCUCUGUGGGAGCCUGGGCUUCCCAGCCUGCAGAAUGGCCAGCCUGCAGGUUGUAACUCAUUAUAAGAAACAAAGUCUCCUUUCUAAAUUUAUAGAUCUUAUGAUUUUUCAGUUGACAUGUUGUUGCCUAUCCAUUGUAGACUGAAUAAUAAUACAAGAAGGGUCAAGACUAUAAUGGAAAGCUUCUCAUGAUGAUCAUCAGUAUAAUUUAAUAACUCAAACACCAUAACUGAAAAUUUAAAAAACUCUAACUCUUUUAAUCUGUUUUUUAAACUUUCAAAAAUUAUUCAAGAUUUAAACGUGCAUUUUUGUAUCUUCCAUAGAAUUUAUGAAUUUAAAAUUACAUAUAAAUUCAAUGAAAAUAAAUAUUACUUCACUUCUCAGAGCUUCUCUCCUCAUUUCUAGAAUGAGGUUGAUAAGUGAUUUUGAAGGUUCCUUCUGCCUCAGACGUUGAAUAUUUCUGGCCCUAAAAGAAAAAUGGUAACACUAGAUUAGGACUGGCAGCAUUUGAUUGUAAAUCCUAGCCGAAGAGACCAAGUUUUGUUGAGAGUAGUGAGCAUUUCUAGCACCUGUUUCCACACUUCUAGUCAUUCUUCCGCUUUUCUCAUCCUCAGCCCUCUGAAACUGUGAGAUCACCAACACUUGGGGUCAAAGUCUAUUAACAUUUUUCAGUUCUCAUCCUGUUAUACUAGUCUGUAGUAUUUUACACUGUUGACCCCUCUCCUCUUUUUACAACCCCCUUGCCUAGGCUUCCACAUUCUUUUUGUUUUUCUUUCAUCUCUACAGCUACUCAUUGGUAUCUUUAUGGGCCCAGCAUGCUUCUGCUGCACCACUCUGCUGCCUAGCUACUGAUAGAUAUCUUUAGAACCAUUCUUAGGCCUUAUUACAUCUAGAGGGCAGUUUAGUAGGUCUAAGGUUGCUUCCACCUAGGGAAAGUGCAAAGCAUGUUAAGUGUUUUAUUCAUAUGACUUAAAUUGCUGUUACACAGUCCAAGUAAACCACAUCGAAAGGAGACUGAAACUACUUGGAUGAAUACAAUGGAAUCCUGUGGAAUGGCACCCCAAACCAAGAUGGUGGCAGAGAGCUGACAAUUGGAUUAUUUGCAUAUCCUUUGUGUGGUCAUCCUAGCAUCUCAGGAUCAGGAAAGAUGAAGAGGAGGGAGGGGAAAGGAAAAAUUUCCACUUAAAGUAGAGCUUGCCUAGGAGACAUCAACUGACUCUUGUAUUUUAACAGCACAGGCUGAAGCUGAUAAGGGUCUUUAAGCCUCAGUAACCUUAGACAGGCACCUUCCUCACUGGACCUAACUGAAGAGACUUUCCUGACUAGUGAACAAUGGGAUAUUUAUUUUAUUUAACCAAUGGUGUAGAGACCUAUAUAUUCAUUCUGCCCCAUAUCCAGAGUGCCAGUUUCCAAUGCUUAAUUAGCAUAAGCCCCAUAAGCUCCCCACUUCUAACAUUUAAAAACCCCUGACUUUCCCUCCUCAGUGAAAUUCUUCAUGGAGUAAGUUCUCUUGCUUGGCAAGUUAAUAGACUCAGCUUUGUAAUUUUUUUUUUCUAGCUCUAACGGUAUUUGUUUUACUCAUGGACAGGUGAGAAGGACAAGGGUAGAGGAGUCUUCAAACACCCCACAGCCAGCCAUCUUGGGUGAAUUACUGCAGUUUUCGAAAGGUGCCAGCAGGUUUCCUCCCGCAUAACAUUUGCAUUAUGUUGUACAUGCCACCGUCUUCAGAUGGCUAAUCCCUAUGAAAUUCAGUUAACAUGACAUUUUCUAGGAAACCUUUACAUCCUUUGCUGUGUUGGGUGCAACCUUGUCUGUCAUUCCGUUUUUGUACUCAUCACAUACUUAAUGGUAUCAACUGGUUCAGCAAUUGGACCCCUUCCUACUGUACUGAGAUUCUUGAGAGUCACUUUGAUAUGCACCCCAGACCCUCAGCAUACUGUCUAGAGCAGUAGUUUUCAAAACCUAAUGUGUAUCAGAAUCGUCUGGAGAAAUAGUUAAAACAGAAUCUCAAGCCCUACCUGCAGAGUCUCUGCUUCAGUAAGUCUGGGUGAGGCCCAAGGAUAUGUGCUUUUAACCAGUUCCCAAACAAUGUUGAUGCUAUUGGUCUGGAGAACAUACUUUGGGACUUCCUGGUCCAUAUCAUACUAGUCACUCAAAAAAUGUUCAUUAAAAGAUUUCAAGGAUUAUAAAUUACUUUUUAUUUUGAUUUGAAGCCAAAUUAAAGCAUUUUGUAAGUUAUCCAAAGUAAGGUAAAUACUCCAGGUCCUUGCUACUCAAAAUGGGGUCCUUGGGCUACUUGCACUGGCAUUACUAGGGACUCUGUUAGGAAUGGAGACUCUCUUGCCGCCUGGUGGACCUACUGACUCAGAAUCUCCAUUCUGAGAUUCUGAUCUCUCAAGAUCCUCAGCCUCACAUCAAAAUUUGAGAAGCACUGCUCAUGUGUGUGAGUGUGUGUGUGUGUGUGUGUAUGUUUAUGUGUGUUGUCAUUAUUAUUGCUUUGGAGUAGUUUUAACAGCAUCCAUAAAACUGGUUUUCACUAAUUAUUCCAUUCGUGGAUUUUCCAAGUCCUUUGUUCCCAAAUAAUAGUGGGUUUACUUUUCUUCUUGGUAAGUGCACAAAGAUUAAGCUUCAUAAAAGCUUUAACUUUAUAUUUGGUAUGUUGACUUAAUUUUAAUCAUUAUUUAGUGAUUCUUCUGUUAUGACACAAAAACACAGAAGGGUGAAAGGGUGAAAUGACUACUGAAGGAGUAAAUUAUUUCAGCAAAAAGAUAAAUAGCAGAGAAACAUGGGAAAUGAGUUAUACCUACAGAAUAGAAAUGCUUGAAUGUGGUAACAAUUCUACAGAAUUUAAUAUCUCUGUUAAGUUACAAAUUGCAAUUUCUUAGUAGCACCUGUAGACUUAAAGAUUAACUAGUAGUUUUAAUAAUAUAUUGACUUACAAGUUUUACUUUUAAAAGUAACAAAGAAAGCUAAAAAUGUUUUAAAAUAAAUAUAUUGCAAAUUGUGGUUCUAUUUUCCUUCUGACUUUUUCUUGUUUGUACUCUGCCUAAUUAGCAAUGUUUAGUAAAAUUAUAAUUAUUUCUAAUCAUAUGAAUAAUUAUAUAUUCUUGAAUUAAGAAUAUGUCUAAUAAGUAUUUGAGACUAUAUAUGAAUUUUAUAGUCUCUAAUGCCAGAUGUUCUAAAUGUGCAAGCAAAUGUUAUUCCUUUCUGAAUUAGAGUAAUUUAUUUUAAAUAAAGAAUGUUUAUAGCACAUAUGAAAUCUAGUCAUAGUUUUUAGUAGGUUAGCUUUAGGGAAAUUCUGUAAGAGAAGAAAUGCAUACAAAACCAGAAUUUAUUAUACUUAAUUUUUUUUUUUUUUGAGACAGGGUCUCACUCUGUCACCCAGGCUGGGGUGCAGUGGCGUGAUCUCUGCUCACUGCAGCCCUGACCUCCCUGGGCUCAGGUGAUCCUCCCACCUCCCACCUUAGCCUCACGAGCAGCUGGAACUACAAGUGUGUGCCACCGUGUCUGGCUAAUUUUUGUUGUUUUUUGUAGAGAUGGGGUUUCACCAUAUUGCCCAGGUUGGUCUUGAACUCCUGGGUUCAAACGAUCUGCCCACUUUGGCCUCCCAAAGUGCUAGGAUCACAGGCGUGAGCCACCGCUCCCAGCCUAUACUUCACUGUUUUAAAAAACUUUUUCAGGUUGACAGCACAGAAACAAAGCCUAAAAACAAAACAAAAGUAAUUACCUCUUUCCAACAGAAUCAUUAAUGUACAUUUGGGAAGAAUAAGCACGUGGAACAGAAAACGAAAGUAAAAGAAUAGUCACCCCUGAAGACAACCAUUCUAAUGAAA
rnacentral:lncRNA from 1 species